rnacentral:snRNA from 1 species
AUGCUGUAGUUUCCUUUCAAUAUACGAACUAAUCUUUCGCCUUUUAUUAAAGAUUACCGUGAAAAGGAACAAUACAGUGAGCCUAAACUGAAUUUUUUAAAUCCCUCCCAAGUGGUGGGGC